CUCUUCUCGCGCUUCCUCCCCAAGCCCCACCUCGCCCCACGCCGCCCAUCUCCGCCUCCUCUCUCACGUCCUCCCUGCCGCCAUGGCCUAGCCCACCCUCGUCAUCAACCUCCCUAAGCCCCCUCUCUCUCUCUCUCGGGGGUGCUGCUGGUCGCAAUCUGGACGAAGAAAAGGAGACCCCGGAAGAAGUUAGAGCGUCCUGGUGGUGGCUAGAUCGAUGCGGCCGACGGCGAGUGCCGGUGAGCGACGGGGAGGCCCCUACCUCUCCGCAUCUUCUCCCAGGUUCCCGAUCUGGAGCGGGUGGGACGGACGCCGGCGAGGCCAGCCCCCCCCCCCCCCUCACACGCAGCUGGAGCAUACUUGGUACAUGAGCCUUGCCGUGACUGGUGGUGCAAAGGUGACCUUGACGAGCAGGGCAAUGGCCAGACACGAGUAAGACACCAAAGAUGACUGGAAGCACUCAAAAAAGUUUACCACGCUGGAGCUAUGUCAGGUUGUACGAGGGCAGUUAAUGAAUAUACUUGCGACCCUUUUACUCUCAGACUCUCCUCCUUUUCUCGCUGCUGAACCCCUGCCAUCAUCAUGUCCAGACUGGCUGUCUCCAUGGUUGUGGCGCCAAGGUCACCGCAUCUUACAUCCUGAUGCAUUUUCAAGAAGACAUUAUUUGAUGUUAGAUGGCCAUUAUGUUCGCUUCAUAUGGACAGAGGACUAAUGGUACUCUUCCAUGAAGAGAAGCAAGUGGAUCAGUAUGUAGUAGCAGGUAUCAAUGUUUUCUCAUACUGAUGAUUCUGAAGUAAUUAGAUUGAGAAAAUUGCUUUAUUCCCCAAUUUCUCUCUGAAACCUUUGCCUUGUCCAUAGUCAUACCUAAAUGAGUUACUUUAUUUCCUAUAGCUCUAUUACUUUUUUCCCUAGAACCUGUCUCUUUAGUCUCCUUUACAAUACCAUGAUCAGGAGGCAAGAAAUAUGUGUGAAUGGAAUAAGAACUGUAUAUAGUUAUUGAUAAGCAUCUUCCAGUAUCUAACAUAUAAAGCCUCCUAGAGUACCCGCCAUUCAGGAGGCCUUCCCGUGCGCAUCAUUCCUGUCCGUUCGAUCUCCUUUGACUUUGGCUCCUGGUCGUUCGAUCAUUUGACUGGUGGUAAUUUUUGGUCACUGUGUAAUUAAUUUCUUGGCCUAUGACUGGUGGGCUCAGCACUCACAUGGAUUGGCUGGGUCAGUUGUUCCCUUGUCUGCGAGGGAUUAGGCAGCCACUCCGCGCCCGCCCCGUGCUCGACGUGCACAUCCUGAGCCCCGCGCCCCCUUGGCUCUCUCCUCUCCCUCCUUGUCUCCAACCCUAAACAUUUUCCCUCUCCACCCCACAGCCGCCUCCCCUAGCUCCUCGUCCCCUUCACUCAGUCCAUCCCUCAUCAUCUCGGAUCCAGCGGAUCUGAGGCGUGCGGGUGCGGAGGCGAGUUUCUCCGGCGGUGGCGGCGGCGGUCACCUGCAGGCAAAGGGCGGUGGCGGCACUCGAUUUGAUCUGCAGGAAAGAUAGAACAUGAGGAGAGAGAAGGAAGGAAAGGAGGAACGCCACCAUGGGCGAGGAGGGGCAACAUGGUCUUCGUGGUGGGAAUGGAGGAGCAGAGGAGGAUGGAGGUGGGUGGUGGGAGCAGAGUAGCAGGAGUUCCAGGUCCAGGCGAUGCUCGUGGAGUGGAGAAGCUCGUCGUCCAGCAUCACCAUCCCCAAUCUAGAUCUGAGAUAGAAAAGAAGAGAAAUAAUCUUGUGGAAUUUCUUAUCUGAGAUAGAAAAGAAGAGAAAGAUCUUGUGGAAGAGCUUGACGAAAAAGAAAGGGAUCUGAGAUAGAAAAGAAGAGAAAUAAUCUUGUGGAAUUUCAUAUCUGAGAAAAGAAGAGAAAGAUUCUUGUGGAAGAGCAGCUUGACAAAAAAGAAAGGGGCGGCACAACUGUACACCACCAUGAACAGGUUGUUUCAUCGCUACAACUCAUAUAGCAAGCUAUGCCAGUAUGGCAAUAUCUGAUAGUACGGCUGCUCACGUUUCCAGGGGCAACACUCACAUUUCCCCUCCAAAAUUCAACAUUUUCAUAUUUUGAGGAGCUUCAGUACGUUUGCUCACCGAUGAACUAGAAGUUGUUUUGUGUACUGCAUGAUUGAGGAAGUGCUAUUGCAGAUCAAAGUUGGUAGAAGCAUCUGCUGGGAAUCAAGUGUUACAUGGCUGUGGGUGACAAGGUUAGUGGUUUAGGAGUUCCUGCCAACACUGGCUUUUGGAAUUUAUCCUCGCUUCAUCAGUUGGGAUUUCUGUACAAAACUAAGAUAAUUUAUUUUGGUGCUUGCGAUGAGUAUUAGAUAGAGGGGUGAUGCACACAUACUUCACCCAGUGUAUCUGUUCAUGUAUGUUGUUAAUUGACUAAUUAGACAAAAAACCUCUAUCUGUAUGGUGUUUGUGAUGAUGCUAUCAAUUCACCAAACACUAAAAUACCGGGUUGUGCUUUUCAAAUCUAGCAAAUUAAUUCUCUA